rnacentral:rRNA from 1 species
UACGGAGGGUGCAAGCGUUAAUCGGAAUUACUGGGCGUAAAGCGUGCGCAGGCGGUUUGUUAAGUCUGUUGUGAAAUCCCCGAGCUCAACUUGGGAAUUGCACUGGAUACUGGCAGGCUCGAGUAUGGUAGAGGAAGGUGGAAUUCCCGGUGUAGCAGUGAAAUGCGUAGAGAUCGGGAGGAACACCAGUGGCGAAGGCGGCCUUCUGGACCAAUACUGACGCUCAUGCACGAAAGCGUGGGGAGCAAACAGG